AGUGAACGCUGGCGGUAGGCCUAACACAUGCAAGUCGAACGGCAGCACAGCAGAGCUUGCUCUCUGGGUGGCGAGUGGCGGACGGGUGAGGAAUACAUCGGAAUCUGCCCAGUCGUGGGGGAUAACGUAGGGAAACUUACGCUAAUACCGCAUACGACCUUCGGGUGAAAGAGGGGGAUCGCAAGACCUCUCGCGAUUGGAUGAGCCGAUGUCGGAUUAGCUAGUUGGCGGGGUAAUGGCCCACCAAGGCGACGAUCCGUAGCUGGUCUGAGAGGAUGAUGAGCCACACUGGAACUGAGACACGGUCCAGACUCCUACGGGAGGCAGCAGUGGGGAAUAUUGGACAAUGGGCGCAAGCCUGAUCCAGCCAUACCGCGUGGGUGAAGAAGGCCUUCGGGUUGUAAAGCCCUUUUGUUGGGAAAGAAAUCUUUCAGGCUAAUACCCUGGGAGGAUGACGGUACCCAAAGAAUAAGCACCGGCUAACUUCGUG
rnacentral:rRNA from 1 species